rnacentral:rRNA from 1 species
AACGAACGCUGGCGGCAUGCCUAACACAUGCAAGUCGAACGAGACCUUCGGGUCUAGUGGCGCACGGGUGCGUAACGCGUGGGAACCUGCCCUUAGGUUCGGAAUAACUCCCCGAAAGGGGUGCUAAUACCGGAUAAUGUCUUCGGACCAAAGAUUUAUCGCCUUUGGAUGGGCCCGCGUUGGAUUAGCUAGUUGGUAGGGUAAAAGCCUACCAAGGCGACGAUCCAUAGCUGGUCUGAGAGGAUGAUCAGCCACACUGGGACUGAGACACGGCCCAGACUCCUACGGGAGGCAGCAGAGGGGAAUAUUGGACAAUGGGCGAAGGCAUGAUCCAGCAAUGCCGCGUGAGUGAUGAAGGCCUUAGGGUUGUAAAGCUCUUUUACCCGGGAUGAUAGUGACAGUACCGGGAGAAUAAGCUCCGGCUAACUCCGUG